UCAGGCCUAACACAUGCAAGUCAAACGGCCCUUCGGGGCAGUGGCGCACGGGUGCGUAACGCGUGGGAAUAUACCCUUAGGUAAGGAAUAACGUAGAGAAAUUUACGCUAAUACCUUAUAAUGACUCCGGUCCAAAGAUUUAUCGCCUAAGGAUUAGCCCGCGUUAGAUUAGUUUGUUGGUGAGGUAAUGGCUCACCAAGACUACGAUCUAUAGGGGGUCUUAGAGGAUGAUCCCCCACACUGGUACUGAGACACGGACCAGACUCCUACGGGAGGCAGCAGUGAGGAAUAUUGGACAAUGGAGGAAACUCUGAUCCAGCCAUGCCGCGUGAGUGAAGACGGCCCUAGGGUUGUAAAGCUCUUUCAAUUGUGAAGAUAAUGACGGUAGCAAUAGAAGAAGCUCCGGCUAAAUUCGUGCCAGCAGCCGCGGUAAUACGAAUGGAGCAAGCGUUGUUCGGAAUAACUGGGCUUAAAGCGUAUGUAGGCGGACUAGAAAGUCAGAAGUGAAAUCCCGGGGCUCAACCUCGGAACUGCUUUUGAAACUCCUAGUCUAGAAUUCUGGAGAGGUUGGGAGAAUUCCUAGUGUAGAGGUGAAAUUCGCAGAUAUUAGGAGGAAUACCAGUGGCGUAGGCGCCCAACGGGACAGAUAUUGACGCUCAGAUACGAAAGCGUGGGGAGCAAACAGGAUUAGAUACCCUGG
rnacentral:rRNA from 1 species